rnacentral:rRNA from 1 species
UACAGGGGGGGCAAGCGUUGUUCGGAAUUACUGGGCGUAAAGGGCUCGUAGGCGGCCAACUAAGUCACACGUGAAAUCCCCAGGCUUAACCUGGGAACUGCGUGUGAUACUGGAUGGCUUGAAUUCGGGAGAGGGAUGCAGAAUUCCAGGUGUAGCGGUGAAAUGCGUAGAUAUCUGGAGGAAUACCGAUGGCGAAGGCGGCAUCCUGGACCGACAUUGACGCUGAUGAGCGAAAGCUAGGGGAGCAAACGGG